rnacentral:snoRNA from 1 species
GGGGUGUGCUCAGAGCAGGGGGCCUGAAGAAAUGGCUGUUUAUAACACACCCGACAGGAACCUGGGUUCAGUGUGAGGCGGGGCACAAACGUGUGGCCUUCCUGUGAGCAGAAACCCGGCUCGU